rnacentral:sRNA from 1 species
UCCAAAUUGCAUAUUGACGUCAUUGCUGA